CGCCUCGCCUCCCUGGCGCAGCCUCGUUGCCCCGUGAACCGCCCCGCGCCGUCCAUCGCCAUGGCCUCGCCUCGAGCGGUCGUCGCCAGCGUCUCGCCGUCACCAGAUCCGGCAGGCGUCGCCCUGGUUCCGCCUCUCCCGGACCUCCCCGCCGCCCUGCUCAUGCCGGAGUGCUGCGUGUAGAUCGCGUCGUCUCCUCCAGAUCCGGUCGCACCGCCGCCGUACUUCAUCUUCUCCACCUCCGGUGAAGGCCGCCGCCGUCUCGAUCUCUUUCUCCGGUGACGGCAAACUUAACGGUGCUGACUUUUCCGUCCUGACAUGUGGGCCAACCCUGUCAUAAUGAGUUUAAACGAGCCAAAUGAGGCGUUUUGCAGACUUGAUUGUUUUUAGUCACAGAUUAGCAAAAAAAAAUUGAUAGUUUUUGGCGCAAAAACGAAUUGUGAUAGUUCCUGGGCACGUUGGCGUGAAUUGUAGUAGUUUUUGAUUAAAUACUCCUCAUAUUACCUUGAUGAAGGUAUUGUUUCGAGAGCUCGGUCUUUUUAAGGGAGAAAACCUAAGAUCUUGGAUCGGACGACGAUGACGCUUGUGCACCGAUUUUUUUUUAAAGGCAUCAUUUUUUAGGAUGGUUUGAGUGUCGCUGCUGCUGAGAAGAGUUGUUCACUGUGACGAGUAGUUGAAAAUGCUCUUACUAUUACAUUUUUCUUUCAAACACGUUACAGUUUACUCCCACCUCAAGUAGUUCCGAGCUACUGUACGUAGUAGCCACACACAUGGAGCGACUCACUCACCUCCAACCAAUUUAACUUUCGUGAAUCUUUGAUCGCUUUUCAUUUGGCCCAGCUCGACGUCACGCGGAUGUCCCCGAUGGAUCUCGCCGGCCACACGCCCCUCGACGACGACGAGAUGAGCAGCGUGUGAUCCUCGUCGCCCCGUCCAUCCAACCGAAGAUAAGACGCCCACUCCCUCCCCUCCACAUGGCACCCACCCUCCAAUCCCUUACUUAUUCCCGCCCCCCUCACUCCUCCAUCCCCUAGCUCCACCUCUCAUCCGCUCCUCAGCCACACCUAGAGCAUCUUAGCUCCAGCUAGCCACCAAUGGCCGCCGCACUGAGCCUCCGCGCGCCCUUCUCCGUGCGCGCUGUGGCGCCACCGGCGCCCCGCGUGGCCCUUGCGCCCGCGGCCCUCAGCCUCGCCGCCGCCAAGCAGGUGCGGGGAGCCAGGCUCCGCGCGCAGGCGACGUACAAGGUGAAGCUGGUGACGCCCGAGGGCGAGGUGGAGCUGGAGGUCCCCGACGACGUCUACAUCCUGGACCAGGCCGAGGAGGAGGGCAUCGACCUGCCCUACUCCUGCCGCGCCGGCUCCUGCUCCUCCUGCGCCGGCAAGUUGGUGUCCGGCGAGAUCGACCAGUCCGACCAGAGCUUCCUCGACGACGACCAGAUGGAGGCAGGGUGGGUGCUCACCUGCCACGCCUACCCCAAGUCCGACAUCGUCAUCGAGACCCACAAGGAGGAGGAGCUCACCGCAUAAGCUGCUUACCCUGCCUCUCUUUGCAACAAGAUCGAGCUGAUAUCAUAUUAUCUCCCAUCAUGCAUGCAUGCAUGGAUAUCGCCAGAUACACCGAUUUGUUUGUGCUCGAAUGAAUUGCUCGAUGCAUGGUUUGCUCCAGUAAUAAUGUCUUCGAAUUACUACCUUUUUGUACCGUAAGAUAUACUACUGUCGUAAUACUAGCGUGUACUUAAUUCAACGUACUGAAAUGAAUCCUGAU
rnacentral:lncRNA from 1 species